GGGGGGCGCGCUGGGAGAGGAGUUUGGGGAGGGGGCUGGAGAGGGAGGACUGAGGAAGGAUGGGGCGGGCUAGGGGGCUCAGGAGGAGGCAGUGCGGGAAAGGAGCUGUCCGCACCCCCGCCCCUAGAGCCCGCUGCCCGGCCCCGGCGGCCCGGGAGGAGAGAGCUGGGCGCCCCCGCUUGCGCCUCCCCCGCCCGGGCGCGGGCUCCGCCGUCGCGGCCGCCUCGGCAGCCGGGGCGCCGCCACCUGCGCAGCCUGCGCCGCCCGGCCGCGCCGCCAUUGGCUCGCUAAAAAUGCCUCUCUAAUCGGCUCGGCCGCGCGCUCCGCCCGCCCCUGACCUUCCUGCUUCCCGCAGCCCCGCCACAGCCCGGAGCGAAGCGGCGCUGCGGCCGCGCCAGCCUCCUCCUCCCCCGGGAAGCCUUCCGGGCUUGAGGCCGGGCCCAGGUGCCCCGCGUCGCCCCGUGGCGCCGCCCAUGGUACCCGGCGCUCCUGCCCCCAGGUAGGGGUCUGGCCCUUGAGAGGGCUGGGGUGGGUGGGGACCCAGGUGGCAGGUGCGGGUUGCUGGUGGGUGCAGGGUGACUUCUUCCAGGCGGGGGGUUGAGGGGAACCGGGCAGUUACCUGGAGAGCGGUAGGCACACGGCCGGAGAAGCUUCGCAGGCGCCCCGGCUCGUGGGCAUCACCCAGGCAAUGCCAGGAGGCCCUUGCGCUGGGUCCCUGGGGGAGACGGAGCUGGCGAGGCCUUCACCCUGGGGAGGGGGGGGGGCGCAGGAAAUGGGUUCCUUGGGAAGGUGCAGUGGGGCCCCGGUGUCCAGGUGUCAGGCAGGGGUGGGCGGGCUGCGCCAGCCUGGUGCGCAGCUAUUUGUGGAUCAGAGUGGGCUGGGGAGAAACAGGGCUGAUGCUGCUGCGCUUGGUUUACAAUUACAGCAUUUCCUCUGGCACUCACCCCUUCCCCCACAGCUGGGGGUGGGCAGGGGAGCAGGGAGGAGUGGGGGCGGGGAGGGCCAGAGCCAGGCUGGAGAGGCACUGGGAGGGAGUGGAGCCGGGAAAGGGGGCAAGGCUUUCUAGGGUGUUCUCCACCUGCCAUGGGACCAGACACUGGGGUGGCAGGCUGCCGAGGACCCUGGGCAGCCCCCAGAGGCCACAGCACCGUCUCCCUUGCUGGGAGGGGUUCUGUGGCAAGGGAGUUAGUGGAGUGACACUGCUACCCAGUGCGGGAGGCAGAGCCGAGGCGUGGGGAGCGAGGCGGGCACCCCGUCUUUAGGCCACUCCCUUUUCUCCGAGAGCAGCCGCUCAGGCCAGCUGAGCGCCAGGGAGGAAGAGGCGGUGAGAAGCGCCCAUCUCCUGGUUCUCACAGCCCUGGUGCCAGAGCCUGCCCUGCUCCGUGCUCCGCCGAGGAAAGCACGGAUAGAGCCGGGCAGGUGGCUUAUCCUGGCGGGACAGCGUGGGG
rnacentral:lncRNA from 1 species